rnacentral:rRNA from 1 species
UACGUAGGGGGCUAGCGUUGUCCGGAAUUAUUGGGCGUAAAGGGCUCGUAGGCGGUUUGUCGCGUCGGGAGUGAAAACCCAGGGCUUAACCCUGGGCUGGCUUCCGAUACGGGCAGACUAGAGGUAUGCAGGGGAGAACGGAAUUCCUGGUGUAGCGGUGAAAUGCGCAGAUAUCAGGAGGAACACCGGUGGCGAAGGCGGUUCUCUGGGCAUGACCUGACGCUGAGGAGCGAAAGUGUGGGGAGCGAACAGG